rnacentral:rRNA from 1 species
UUACCUACGGGGGGCAGCAGUGGGGAAUAUUGCACAAUGGGGGAAACCCUGAUGCAGCAACGCCGCGUGAGUGAAGAAGUCAUUCGUGAUGUAAAGCUCUAUCAGCAGGGAAGAAAAUGACGGUACCUGAGUAAGAAGCCCCGGCUAACUACGUGCCAGCAGCCGCGGUAAUACGUAGGGGGCAAGCGUUAUCCGGAUUUACUGGGUGUAAAGGGAGCGUAGACGGCAUGGCAAGUCUGAAGUGAAAGCCCGGGGCUCAACCGCGGGACUGCUUUGGAAACUGUUAAGCUGGAGUGCAGGAGAGG